rnacentral:lncRNA from 12 species
AAUUAUUGUUUUUGUCUGUUUAAUUUUCAAUUGAUUUUUAUUUCUUUUAUUUUCUAUUUUUGCUUCUUAUUUCUGAAAAUAUCUGCUCUUUACAUUGUUCUACUAUAUAUUUUUCUGUUGAGUUUUUUCAUGUUUUUUUCUCUCUUUCUUUUAAAAGAAAUAUCACGUCUGUAAUCCCAUUGUAAGAAUGGUGGAUGUUCUAUCUAAUACCAUUGUGUUUCCAUGAGUAAUGCCUUUUAUGGUAUAUGGUGUUUUAUAGCAGUGUGUUAACAUUUCUUAAAAUUCUGAUUCUUAUCUUUAAGGUGGACCCAAGAGUGUCUGAAGAGAAGUGGAGUGGAGAGAGGAUGAGAAGUUAAUGUGAUAAGCCUAUGUUAGGGAUUCAAGAUAUUUUCAUGGGUGAGUAAAAGAGUAAUCCUUUCACAAAAAUUCAGGGAAUUCUUGAAGUCUACUUUGAUAACAGUUAAAAUGUUAUUACUCUUCUCAAUAACAUUGACUCCCCCAAAUUUGCAAUCUACCUUGUACAUGGCAUAA